CAAGAAAUAACAAUACGGGGCUUAAAGUCUUGUAAUUGGAAUGAUGGGAAUUUAAACCUCUUCCAGAGUAUCAAUUGGAGGGCAAGUCUGGUGCCAGCAGCCGCGGUAAUUCCAGCUCCAAUAGCGUAUAUUAAAAUUGUUGCAGUUAAAAAGCUCGUAGUUGAAUUUCUGCUGCAUUGCUUGUGUCCCUCUGGGGUCUGUGCAUGUGGCUUUUUUCGGACGGAGUUUCUUUGUCUGAAUGUUUACUUUGAGAAAAUUAGAGUGCUCAAAGCAGGCUUUCGCCUUGAAUAGUUUAGCAUGGAAUAAUAAAGUAGGACUUUGGUUCUAUUUUGUUGGUUUUAGGUACCAAAGUAAUGGUUAAUAGGAACAGUUGGGGGCAUUCGUAUUUAACUGUCAGAGG
rnacentral:rRNA from 1 species